rnacentral:rRNA from 1 species
AUGGCAGAAUGCUUCAAUAAGGUGCUCAAGGGUGUACGUGCAUUACCCGUGACGGCAAUAGUUCAAUACACAUUUGACAAGAUGAAUGGAUACCUUUUGAAGUAUUCAAUGGAGACGGAUAAGCAGAUUGCUGGUGAGAACAAGGAUAAGCACAAGUACUAUUUCCCACCAAAGGUUGAAGAAUGGUUGGACUUUCAAUCAUGAAAGGCAGACUCCCAAGAAGCUGUACUAUAUGACAACAACGAGUGGAAGUAUGAGGUGAAAGAGCCUGGAGGAACCACAAACGAUGGCCACCAACACGGAGGCCGCGCUUUCAAGGUCUCCCUAACACGGUGUGAUUGCAGCUGCAUGAGGCCAUCGUUGCUUCAUCUCCCAUGCUCGCACUUGUUAAAUGCAGCCCGUGUUAGGAAUGUGGACGUCAAUCACCCUCUUACCGUGAGGGAGUCCAAGUUCUCAAUCAUGACGGUAAAGAAUACAUGGGCUCCCCGGUUUCAGCCAUACUUGGACCAAUCACAAUGGUCGGAGUAUCAUGGAGUUCAACUAUGGCCGGACACAAAAUUGAAGGUCGUUAGACGGGGAAUACGUAAGACAAAGCGUCUUAGAGGUGACAUGGAUGGAUGGGGCCGUGGUGGCGGUGGAGAAUACGGCACCGGCCAAUUCCAAGAGCCUCGUGAGCAAUCCCGUUGUGGGGACUGCAGUCAUGGGGGACACAACACAAGAACUUGUCCCAAAUCAAGAAAAAGAUCAAAGAAAAAUGAUGCAAGCACAAGCCAAGCAAAUGAUAGCCAACCAAGUUAA